rnacentral:rRNA from 1 species
UGGGGAAUUUUGGACAAUGGGGGAAACCCUGAUCCAGCCAUCCCGCGUGUGCGAUGAAGGCCUUCGGGUUGUAAAGCACUUUUGGCAGGAAAGAAACGUCAUGGGUUAAUACCCCGUGAAACUGACGGUACCUGCAGAAUAAGCACCGGCUAACUACGUGCCAGCAGCCGCGGUAAUACGUAGGGUGCAAGCGUUAAUCGGAAUUACUGGGCGUAAAGCGUGCGCAGGCGGUUCGGAAAGAAAGAUGUGAAAUCCCAGAGCUCAACUUUGGAACUGCAUUUUUAACUAACGUGUUAGAGUGUGUCAGAGGGAGGUGGAAUUCCGCGUGUAGCAGUGAAAUGCGUAGAUAUGCGGAGGAACACCGAUGGCGAAGGCAGCCUCCUGGGAUAACACUGACGCUCAUGCACGAAAGCGUGGGGAGCAAACAGG